rnacentral:tRNA from 1 species
UAUAGUUUAGUUUAAGGGAAUAUUAAAUUUUGAUUUUAAAGGAGGUAAUUUAUCUUACUAACUAUAA